rnacentral:rRNA from 1 species
GGCAGGCUUCGGAUUAUUGGGCGUAAGGGUGCGCAGGCGGUAUGUUAAGUCAACUGUUAAAUAUCCCAGCCUAACUGGGAACCAGCAGUAGAUACUGAUGUGCUAGAGGAUGGAAGAGAGAAGUGGAAUUCUCGGAGUAGCGGUAAAAUGCGUAGAUCUCGAGAGGAACACCAAUGGCGAAGGCAGCUUCUUGGUCCAUACCUGACGCUCAUGCACGAAAGCGUGGGGAGCAAACAGGAUUAGAUACCCUGGUAGUCCACGCCGUAAACGAUGAUCACUAGACGUUACCCUUGCGUUGCUUGGGUAGUGUCGUAGCUAACGCGUUAAGUGAUUCGCCUGGGGAGUACGGUCACAAGAUUAAAACUCAAAGGAAUUGACGGGGACCCGCACAAGCAACGGAGCGUGUGGUUUAAUUCGAUGCGACGCGAAGAACCUUACCAGGGCUUGACAUGCACGCAAAACUUUCAGAAACGGGAGGUCCUUCGGGGUGCGUGCACAGGUGCUGCAUGGCUGUCGUCAGCUCGUGCCGUGAGGUGUUGGGUUGAGUCCCGCAACGAGCGCAACCCCUGUGGUCGGUUGAGAUUUCCGAGCAGACUGCCACGCCAAACGUGGAGGAAGGUGGGGAUGACGUCAAGUCAGCACGGCCCUUACGUCCUGGGCGACACACACGCUACAAUGGCCGAGACAGCGAGUAGCCAACCCGCGAGGGGGAGCCAAUCUUAGCAAACUCGGUCUCAGUUCGGAUGGUAGGCUGCAACCCGCCUGCCUGAAGCCGGAGUUGCUAGUAACCGUGGGUCAGCACACCACGGUGAAUACGUUCCCGGGUCUUGUACACACCGCCCGUCACACCACGAAAGUCGGCAACACCUGAAGCCGCUGGGCUAACCCUUUGGGGAGGCAGGCGUCGAGGGUGGGGUUGGUGAUUGGGGGUGAAGUCGUAACAAGGUAACC